GUGAUUGCUGCAGCCUGGGCUGGCCUUCCUCGCUCCGUUACUGCCCUCUCGCUUUAAAUCAGCGCGUCCCCAAAGUGCCUGAUUAUAAGAAUCGUCUGCUAGGCUGAUUGAAAGUAUAGAUUAACAGAGGCAGAAAUGGAGGCACAGAAAGAUUUUUACCCUGAUCACGUAGCUAGAGGUGGAAGAGGAGGGUUUGAACAAAGGUUUCCUGAAUCCAAAUCUUGGCAAUGUUUAACCUAAGGUGUACUACAUUCUGAGAGCUAGCUGGCAUCAAAGCCCUCUAAAACACUUUAUUGAGGAAGGGUGAAAAAUUGCUGAAUCGAUCUUUUUCAAUUAGCACGGGAUCUGAAUCAAAGAAAUUUGGAAGAAGAGAACUUUCUCAUCCGAGUGGCUGCCAGCACCCCCGCCCCAGCUGAAGUGCUCCCUUGUUCUCGCCUGCUCUGCCCCAGAUUCGUGGGCCACUCUCCGAAUCGUUGGCAAUUUUCUCUGUACUGUCCUGACAACCUCCGGCCAUGAAAAUUAAAAAACUAGUUACCGAAUCUCGCUCCUAACGGCUUUGUCCUUGUCAGCGACUCGACAGAGAAAUCUGGAAGAGGGAGCCUCCUUACGCCUGCAGUGAGCUGAAAUGCCACCAGAAUGACAAUGGGCUUUGCCGUGGGAG